rnacentral:rRNA from 1 species
CACGCCAUAAACGUUGUGCACUAGGUGUGGGAGGUAUCGACCCCUUCCGUGCCGCAGCUAACGCAUUAAGUGCACCGCCUGGGGAGUACGGUCGCAAGACUGAAACUCAAAGGAAUUGACGGGGGCCCGCACAAGCGGUGGAGCAUGUGGUUUAAUUCGAGGCAACGCGAAGAACCUUACCCAGGCUUGACAUCCCGGGAAUCUCCUGGAAACAGGGGAGUACCCUUCGGGGGACCCGGAGACAGGUGU